rnacentral:lncRNA from 1 species
GCUCUUCCGAUCUGUAACCAGAAAACAUUUGGAUUUUUUUUUUUGUUGUCCAUGGCCAGAUCUUACAACAUCGGUGAUUUAAACCAGGCAUUGAAUAUGAACUCAACUAGGCCUCUAAUAUUUCUGCCUUGCUCGGUUCCAGUGAACAAUGCAGCCCUGGCUGGUGUUGAAAGUCUGCAGCAUGCAAAGGCUAAAGGGCUAGCUAGACAACUGGAAUCUCACUUUCACGGAGUUACUCUGGCCUCCCAAAUCCUGGAAUAACUUAGUAGUAUAAUGCUCAAGUCCUCCACACCAUAAGUAAAAAAUAAGAAUAUUAAAUUUAAUAAGCUCGGGGAGUGAAAUCAGAGCCACAUUUUGUAUGAAAGAAACCAGCUCACAAUGAUGCACAGCAGAAAGAAAUGUCUAUUUGCCCUGGCUUAAAUGAUAGCAGAAGAAAGAAGGAUGCACAUAACUAAAAUAUAGGGUGUGCUGGAGUCUCCUGUUGAAAAGAUUUUGAAGUUCACCUGGGAUUUCCUAAGCUGGUUUCCUAAACAACUGCACUCUCAUGGCUCCACUUCCCCUGCAGAGGAAACUGCUCUUUCGGGGCUCCCCCACUGCCCUGCUAAUCAGUCAUUAAGUGUGCAGUUAACAAACAAGCACCUGAAGAGAAGGGGAUCAAGACAGUGCACAAAACUGUCCAGGCGAUCUGAAUGCAGGUGUGGGAGACACAAACCAGGUGGCUAAAAGGCUUCUUUGUUUGAGGCUGUCAGGAGGACGACCCGAUUAAUCUCAUGCCCAUCCCUAAACUCCCUUUUAACUAUGUCAAGACAUCUCCUCACAUCAGGAAGUCCACAAUGACACGGCUAUGUGCUAAGCUCCGUUAAUGUGGUCCCAGGUUUAAACACUUCGGGUUCAAAGUGGAUAAUUGGUGGUAGUGGAUUUUAAAAGCUCACACAGGUGCCUUUGAAAAGAGGUCAAAAGUCAAGUGCAUCUCUCCCGAGAGCACUGGUGAGCCUUUCCUAAGGAGAUCAAAAUUCUUUUACGUAAAGCCCCAGGGUCUUGUAAGCACUGUUAUUAAUUUAGUUCUGUAUGUUCCAAAUAAGGGGAAAAUGAUGCCACAUGGGUGUAUUACCAGUAACCUGGGCAUAUUUGUUCCAGAGAGGGAGAUGUUAGAUAGAUUUUCACCUAGCAAUUCUGGCUUGCUAAUGAAGUAAUCCACUUUCUACCAGGCCCAAACUGGGGGGUUCAGGUCAGGGUAAUGAACCUUAACACAGUGAAAAGCCUGAGGGGGAACGGAGUCUGAACACAGGAAUGUGCUGUCAUAGGCCGAAUGUGCUGGUCAACCCAAGGCUGCGGAGUUCUGACUCUAGCAUAUGACAGCCAUCACUGGGCAUGGCUGGACCUCCAAAUGCCUUGUUCGGCUUCAUAAUGCCUUUUAUUAAUAGAAGUUAUAAACUCUCAUCAUCAAAACAUGUUCGUGAUAUUUUUACAAGGAAGCCAAACAGCCCAACUGCUAACUGGCAUAUAUUUCAAAAGUGUUGAAGAGUUUGCUGGUAUGCCCCAGAGGCCUCCCAAAGCCACCCUUAUUCCUUAUUCCCUCUGUCUG